CGGCCGCGUCGACACGUGGGCAACCUGCCUGUAAGACUGGGAUAACUUCGGGAAACCGGAGCUAAUACCGGAUAAUAUAAGGAACCUCCUGGUUCUUUAUUGAAAGAUGGUUUCGGCUAUCACUUACAGAUGGGCCCGCGGCGCAUUAGCUAGUUGGUGAGGUAACGGCUCACCAAGGCAACGAUGCGUAGCCGACCUGAGAGGGUGAUCGGCCACACUGGGACUGAGACACGGCCCAGACUCCUACGGGAGGCAGCAGUAGGGAAUCUUCCACAAUGGACGAAAGUCUGAUGGAGCAACGCCGCGUGAGCGAUGAAGGCCUUGGUCGUAAAGCUCUGUUGUUAGGGAAGAACAAGUGCGAGAGUAACUGCUCGCACCUUCGACGGUACCUAACCAGAAACGCCACGGCUAACUACGUGCCAGCAGCCGCGGUAAUACGUAGUGGCAAGCGUUGUCCGGAAUUAUUGGGCGUAAAGCGCGCGCAGGUGGUCCUUUAAGUCUGAUGUGAAAGCCCACGGCUCAACCGUGGAGGGUCAUUGGAAACUGGGG
rnacentral:rRNA from 1 species